CUUCAUGAAGCUGGAUUCGCUAGUAAUCGCGCAUCAGCCACGGCGCGGUGAAUACGUUCCCGGGCCUUGUACACACCGCCCGUCAAGCCAUGGGAGCCGGGGUACCUGAAGUGCGUAACCGCAAGGAGCGCCCUAGGGUAAAACUGGUGACUGGGGCUAAGUCGUAACAAGGUAUC
rnacentral:rRNA from 1 species